GACGAACGCUGGCGGCGUGCCUAAUACAUGCAAGUAGAACGCUGAAGAGAGGAGCUUGCUCUUCUUGGAUGAGUUGCGAACGGGUGAGUAACGCGUAGGUAACCUGCCUUGUAGCGGGGGAUAACUAUUGGAAACGAUAGCUAAUACCGCAUAACAAUGGAUGACACAUGUCAUUUAUUUGAAAGGGGCAAUUGCUCCACUACAAGAUGGACCUGCGUUGUAUUAGCUAGUAGGUGAGGUAAUGGCUCACCUAGGCGACGUUACAUAGCCGACCUGAGAGGGUGAUCGGCCACACUGGGACUGAGACACGGCCCAGACUCCUACGGGAGGCAGCAGUAGGGAAUCUUCGGCAAUGGGGGCAACCCUGACCGAGCAACGCCGCGUGAGUGAAGAAGGUUUUCGGAUCGUAAAGCUCUGUUGUAAGUCAAGAACGGGUGUGAGAGUGGAAAGUUCACACUGUGACGGUAGCUUACCAGAAAGGGACGGCUAACUACGUG
rnacentral:rRNA from 1 species